CUAUGCACUCCUACGGGAGGCAGCAGUGGGGAAUAUUGCACAAUGGGCGCAAGCCUGAUGCAGCCAUGCCGCGUGUAUGAAGAAGGCCUUCGGGUUGUAAAGUACUUUCAGCAGUGAGGAAGGUGGGUAUGUUAAUAGCAUAUUCAUUUGACGUUAGCUGCAGAAGAAGCACCGGCUAACUCCGUGCCAGCAGCCGCGGUAAUACGGAGGGUGCGAGCGUUAAUCGGAAUUACUGGGCGUAAAGCGCAUGCAGGUGGUUUGUUAAAUCAGAUGUGAAAGCCCGGGGCUCAACCUCGGAAUUGCAUUUGAAACUGGCAAACUAGAGUACUGUAGAGGGGGUAGAAUUUCAGGUGUAGCGGUGAAAUGCGUAGAGAUCUGAAGGAAUACCGGUGGCGAAGGCGGCCCCCUGGACAGAUACUGACACUCAGAUGCGAAAGCGUGGGGAGCAAACAGGAUUAGAUACCCUGGUAG
rnacentral:rRNA from 1 species